GAUGAACGCUGGCGGCGUGCCUAAUACAUGCAAGUCGAGCGAACAGACGAGGAGCUUGCUCCUCUGACGUUAGCGGCGGACGGUUGAGUAACACGUGGAUAACCUCCCUAUAAGACUGGGAUAAUUUCGGGAAACCGGAGCUAAUACCGGAUAAUAUAUUGAACCGCAUGGUUCAAUAGUGAACGACGGUUUUGCUUUCACUUAUAGAUGGAUCCGCGCCGCAUUAGCUAGUUGGUAAGGUAACGGCUUACCAAGGCAACGAUGCGUAGCCGACCUGAGAGGGUGAUCGGCCACACUGGAACUGAGACACGGUCCAGACUCCUACGGGAGGCAGCAGUAGGGAAUCUUCCGCAAUGGGCGAAAGCUUGACGGAGCAACGCCGCGUGAGUGAUGAAGGUCUUCGGAUCGUAAAACUCUGUUAUUAGGGAAGAACAAAUGUGUAAGUAACUAUGCACGUCUUGACGGUACCUAAUCAGAAAGCCACGGCUAACUACGUG
rnacentral:rRNA from 1 species